rnacentral:rRNA from 1 species
UGCGAAGGGGGCUAGCGUUGUUCGGAAUUACUGGGCGUAAAGAGCUCGUAGGCGGUUUGUUGCGUCGGCUGUGAAAUCCUGAGGCUCAACCUCGGGUCUGCAGUCGAUACGAGCAAACUAGAGUGUUGCAGGGGAGACUGGAAUUCCUGGUGUAGCGGUGAAAUGCGCAGAUAUCAGGAGGAACACCGGUGGCGAAGGCGGGUCUCUGGGCAACAACUGACGCUGAGGAGCGAAAGCGUGGGGAGCGAACAGG